ACCCGGAGGCUUUAAACAUUCAGAGCCACUGUGAUAAAUAUUUACACAUUGUCCCUAUUUCAGGAAAAAAUGGUAAGGCUAUAUGUUUAACUUUAUGGAGCCACUGCCUUAGUUAAAAUAUGUCUGCAAACACAGGCACAAACAGAAAAACAGCUGUACAAGCCGCUGUAAUGUGGUGCUUUAAGAGUUUGUCAAAAUAUUUUUCUCACAUGAUCUAAAUUUUAUCUGUUUGUGAUAUUUGCUGUUUUAGCGUGAAGUAAAAAAGGAUCCACAGGAGUCUGGAGGACGGGCACAAAUACAGAGGAAAUGAGAGGUUCACGUCUGAGCACAACUCCAGUGUCACAAAUUCAGUGUUGUGGACAAUUGCAGAUGAAGAGGAAUGUGACACCUCUUUGAUCAGAAGAGCAACAGAUACUUUGAGAACAUCAGGAGGGAAUCUAAGUUGUCAGAAGACAACAAAGUGGAAGAGGAUUGGA